UACGUAGGGUGCAAGCGUUAAUCGGAAUUACUGGGCGUAAAGCGUGCGCAGGCGGCUUUGCAAGACAGAUGUGAAAUCCCCGGGCUUAACCUGGGAACUGCAUUUGUGACUGCAUGGCUGGAGUGCGGCAGAGGGGGAUGGAAUUCCGCGUGUAGCAGUGAAAUGCGUAGAUAUCAGGAGGAACACCGGUGGCGAAGGCGGCUACCUGGACAGAAACUGACGCUGAGGCGCGAAAGCUAGGGGAGCAAACAGG
rnacentral:rRNA from 1 species